GAGCGCAAACGUCAAGGCGACCGAAAUCGUCGAAGCGCUAAGUGAACACCGAAAAUAGUAACGAAGUGUUUUGCAGGAAACAACAACAACAACAAAACAAGACACCACAAAAAAUAAGAAACAAAAACAACAAUAGUUGAAAAAUAAAACGGGAAAAAAUAUAAACAACUCCAAAGCAUGCUGGCGCCAACGAGACUAAGUGCAGCGCACCAACGACGCCUGAACCGUGGGUGGGUGGGUGUUAGCCGAGUUCGGUGGUUAACUGCUACUUGCUGCCGUCCGCCGUAUGGCGCGUAGUCGCGGUAAGCUAUUGGAAAGUAAAUAUGAUUAGGAAAAGGCAGCAUUAUUCGAAAGGGAAAACGGCAAAUGUGCGCGUCGUCAUCGUCGUCACGGCGCAAAUUUACGCAAACGAAACAACAACAACAAAUAGUGUGACUGCGCUAACCUCGAAUGUGCGGCGACAUAGCGGUGUGUGGUGCGGUUAUUUGGCUAGGUGGCUGGCUAGCUGGCGUCGUCAAUGCUGACGAAUGCGCCGAUAAUGACGGUAAUGCCAAAAGAUUCAUAGCCGUGGGGGUGAAUACUAAGCAAGCAGCAAGCAGCGAGCAGCGCGAUAGAGAUAGAGAGGAAGCAAGCAGCCGUGUCACGCGAAACAACGAAGUUCCGCGCACACUGUUUUUGCUGUUGUUGCCGCUACAUCCCCAUAUUGUGGUGGCAAUAGCAAAGUUUGUUGGCACCGCACACAUGCACAUACAUAUAUACACACACAAAUACAUACAUACAUAUAUACACACAAAUACAUAGUAUAUACACAUUCGUAAGUAUUUUAAUACAAUUGGCGUGCUGCACACAUACAUACAUAUACAUAUAUACAACUGCUCACAGUGGCGUGCAUUGCAAUAACGCGCGUUUAACGUUUGCUUUUCUGUGGGGUAGUUUACUGUACACCCCAAUUGCUGACUCAACGGGUGUGCUGCUCGCUAAUUAAUUAAUAAUAAUGUUCCUAUUGAAUGCCAUUCGAGCAUUUUAUAUGGUUUUAUGUCUCUACCAGUUCCCUGCUCAACACUGUCACCUGUUUUGGGUGGCACGCCAUAUGUCUGUCGGUGAAAAUAACAAUAACAAAUGUAUGUCGUAUACCCUGAACAAGGAAUACUAAAUUUGCCACGAAAUUUGUAACACCCAGAAGGGAACCUAUUAAAUUGAAUAUAAAUGAUCAGCUUGGCGAGCUGAGUCAACUGUCGGUGUAUUGCUCAGUUUUUGAGAUAUCGUUCUAAAAUUUUGCAUACGUCCUUUUUUACCACCAAGACAUUUAGCUAUCGUACAAACUUUAGUGCAUUCAAGUCCUUGUAUAGACAACUGUUUUAUUUGACAAGAUAUCUUCUCGAAAUUCGGCGCCGAUUAUUGUCCUAGGUAGAGCACAAUAUCUGAAUUGACCAAUCAAAAUCAAGCUCUUGUAUGGAAAACUUUUUUAUUUGAGAACAUACACAUCUUCAUGAAAUUUGUCCAAGGCUACAAACUCCGAGCAAAAUCUUUAGGUGGAAAUACGAACAACCUGACCGAUGAAAAUAAAUUUUUUGUAUGACAUUUUUUUUUAUUUGUGAAGGGUAUAAUAUGUAUGUAUGUUCGGUGUAACAGAAGUUAAGGUUUCAUUCUGUUUUUUUAAGUUUUUUUUAAGUUAAUAGUGAACACAAGCGAAAGUAGAGUUGAAAGUUUAAAACUUUCUACCAUUACAGUACGUAUUUUAGACAUUUGUAUGUAUGUAUAUGUAAUAUAUGUAUAUAGAGUAUGUAUUUAUAUACAAAUGUGUUCUAUUAAAUGUGUUCUAAAAUACCCAUUUCUGGUCAGCCUGACCAUUCGGCGAUUAUGUGCGCGCUUUAUAGAAAAUAUAUCAAGUGAAUAAAAGCACAUGUUGACCUGAUGGAAGAUAUACGUACAUAUGUAGGUACAUAUUAGAGUAAGCAGCCACACUUUUACCUUUUCAUGGUCACUAUACAGUAUUUUAUUGUUUUUGUAAAUAAAUAUAGACAAAACCACAAGUGCCUGUCAGUUAUUGACUAAAAAAUUAUUUAUUCACUUAUAUUACAGUAUUGUAGUAAGAAAUUACUACUAACUUGUUCACAUACACACAAACUGGUCUACAUAUGUAUGAAGGUGUCCCUAAUGAAGUUUUCUUUCGUUGCGCGACCACUUUUUGGUCAUUGCCGGACAUGUCAUGAGGACGGUAUAAAACCCGGCAUACACGCUGUGGUAUGAUGUUGCGUGCCGGCUUUUUGUUAUUUUCACUUUACACGAAACCUUUCUUAAUUAUAAAAAGAACAAAACAAAAACUGUGCGUUAAGUUGGAAAAUGAGGCAGGUCAAAUGUGUGUCAAUGCCACGCGUUUCCGGUGCAUGGGAAAUUCGCAAAUUGCGCCGACUGUCUAAAUUCGUGUGUCCUGAGCUGCACCUUACAAGUUGGAUAUAUUUUCGUAAGGCGCAGAGCUGUUGCGGAUUAAACAUGAAAUGAUGUCACAACUCACUUCUCCAACUGACAGAACAUUUUUAUCAUAACAGGCACGUGAGUUAAUUACAACCACAGUCAUAAAGGAAAUAAGUUUUAAAACAAUUAUGAAUCAAUUCUAAAUUGUCAUUAAGUUAGAAAAAGCAAUUGUUCGAAUUCAAAUUUAGUUAGUACAUAUUACUACUCUAUUUUGUACUAGGUGCAAAUCAAAAAACAAAAAUCAAAUAAGAAAUUAGAAAUUUAUAAGUUGGUCAAAUUGGGGUGGAAGGCCGAAAAUGUAACCAAAACAAAUACAAGGAGAAUACACCACAGUUGCUAUAAGAGUUUUUGACAUUUCAUAGCAGCGCUGCGCUUGGAAAUGCCAAAUCCACCAUAGCAGCGCGAUGUGGUGUCAGCUGUUAGAUGACAGUCACAUGACAGCUUUGGAUCGAUAAAUUUUUCGCUCACGGGUUCGCACAAUCAUGAAAAUUCACUUUUUUAAACGCUUUUUAAGCCAACUAUGCAAUAUGUUUGUCUAUUUCUGUGCAAAAAAUGCAUUUAGCAGACAUUUACAGUCGAACUGUACACCUUAAAAUCAUCCAAAAGCACUUUUAGUGGACGCACACAUGAUCCUGCCUGCUUUUAUACAAGCUUUAUAAGACCACCCAAAAGUCAUGUUUUAACCUUCAAUACAAUGUCGCAUAUUCAUUCAUACACUUUAUCCGAUUGGCAAUACACAUUACUGCAUAAUUAUGCCUUGAUUGCGCUAUUAAAUUGUACAACCAUGAAUUUAUACACGAUUCUCGAGUAGCCCACCAAAAGGCAAGACCACGAAUAUAAGCUAUUCCACAAAACAUUUGUUGCUCCCCUCCAUAUUUCCAUUCCACACUCACACACUCAUCUGACUUUGGCACGGGGCACUUACAUUUUUUUCGUGUUUCUUUUUAUGCGAAGCUGCGAAACCACACUUUAACUGCAACGGAAUUUUGCAAAACUAGCCGAAAAUUUGUGCGAUUCGAUGGUGCAAAGAAUUUGCAAUUGCGUUGGAAACUUUUCACUUACAAUUUUCUAUUGCCCAAAAA